UACGAAGGGGGCUAGCGUUGCUCCGGAAUCACUGGGCGUAAAGGGUGCGUAGGCGGGUUCUAAGUCAGAGGUGAAGCCUGGAGCUCAACUCCAGAACUGCCUUUGAUACUGGAAGUCUUGAGUAUGGCAGAGGUGAGUGGAACUGCGAGUGUAGAGGUGAAAUUCGUAGAUAUUCGCAAGAACAGCCAGUGGCGAGGCGGCUGCAC
rnacentral:rRNA from 1 species